GUGGUAGAGGUGUAACAGGUUGCACGCUUCGUUGCCAACGAAGAGGUUUAGCGGGUUCGAGUCCCGUCUACCGCAC
rnacentral:tRNA from 1 species